CUUGGUCACAUCGCUGCAUCGUCCCUCGGCCUCCUCCUGCCCGAGGCUCAGUGCGUUUCAGGCGGAUGCAGCGUGCAGCCCCUGAACCACUGCCAGGUCAUCUCUGAAACCGCUGCCGAAGAAAAUACAUUUCCCUCAGUCUAUCUGCAUGCUCUGCAUCAUGGCUGCACAGGAACCAGCAGUUGUUGUCUGGAUCCACCUGGGAUUUUCUGUGCAGAGCGAAGCCCAAACUGUGUGGAUGAAUCUGGGGUCUGUGGACGAUCACUUCAUGCCCAUACCUCGAGGGAGUUUUUUUCUGUAAAAAGUGUUGUUUUGUUUUUUGCAUCUGUGUCCGGAGUAUCAACAGCUGACAUCGUUCAGGCCUCCAACUCUCAUGCGUGUCAUCUAACCCCAUUAGCAGCCAAUGUCUUUUCAGGAGCAGAGCUGGCAUGGUUCACAGAGGAUGGAAAUUUCAAUCUCCCUUCUAUCAUUUUCCCUAUCAUUACUCCAUUCGCCCGCCAUUUCUCUCCAACCUGAGUCCCGAGAGGGAGUGGAGCGGCUAAAAAGGAGGGCACCGUGGACUCUGUUCCCAACUUUAAUAUGAGAGGAGCAAAAAAGAGAGCGGGGGUGUUUAUACAUUAUUAGGGGUCUAUUACAAAGCAGCUAUCACAUUCUCCCUCUUCUCUCCCUCGCCCUCUCAUUCCCUCACUCUCCUGACAGGUAGCGGGCGGCCUGCCGUGAUGACUAGACUCAAUCACCUGUGACAGUUUUGAUUUGAUGUCACUCUCUGGGUCGCUCUAUUUGUUUGAGCAGUUAAGAGGUAAUUGUGUGACAUUGGCGGGGGAAGACGUGCUUUGGCGGCGCACCCGCUGAACCGAGGGGACAGGACGAGGGAGUGUGGCAAUAAUAAAUGAGGGCUAUUUUCCCUCAGCAUUCCCAGACUGUGUGUGUGUGUGUGGCUGAUGGGGGAACAAGAAGGGGUGAUGAGCCCCUCUACCCUGGGGGAAUUCAGCUGUGAGAUGCACAUUGAGGUCGCAUGCACCCACUAUUAUCAUCACUUUUUUUAGUCUGAACAGAAUUGUU
rnacentral:lncRNA from 1 species